GCAAAACGAUAUAUUCACCAUAUUUAACAUUUUUUUGAAUAAUUCAUGAAUCAGAGAAGUUAACUUUAAGUGGUUUAUCUCUUUCCCAAAUUACCUAUCAAGUGAAGUAUCAGAUAAUCUAAUGACGUGAGAAACCUGGUAAAAAGCUCUAAUUAAAAUAUUGUGCAUGUUAAGGACGCAACAUAAAAUAUUCUGUUGUAUAAUGUUAUUCCAGAUCACAUUGAUUAAACAAUUUUUUAGACAAGAGGGGCUUGCUCCGAUGGUAAGCAACCCCCACUUCCAACCGAGAGGUUGUGAGUUCGAGUCUCCCCAAGAGCAAAGGUGGGAAGUCCUUGGAGGGAAGGAUGCCGGGGGUCUAUUUGGAAACAACCUCUCUACCCCAGGGUAGGGGUAAGGUCUGCGUACAUACUACCCNNNNNNNNNNNNNNNNNNNNNNNNNNNNNNNNNNNNNNNNNNNNNNNNNNNNNNNNNNNNNNNNNNNNNNNNNNNUUAAGGUCUGCGUACAUACUACCUCCCCAGACCCCACUAAGUGGGAUUAUACUGGGUUAAAAAAAAAAUUGAUUAAACAAUUUAAAUAACAUGCAUCACACCCCUUAGGGUGCGGCCCUCCCCCAAAUAUCAUGUAUCACACCCCCUUAGAGUGCGGCCCUUUCCCGAAAUUUAAAUAACAUGCAUCACACAUCUUAGGGUGCGGCCCUUCCCCAUCACCCUGCGUAAACGCGGGAUGCUUUGUCAACCGGGCUGCCCUUUAUAUAACAUGCAUCUUCUUUUGAUAUCCAGCUAAAAAAUUAAAUUGACACCAGAAAUGAAAGCUACCUGUUAAUUUACAAUAGAAAAUAAUUGAUUCGAGAACAUAAAACUUGGUAAAUCCUGAAGACUGUUUAGUCACAAAAUUGCAGCAAUUACUCUAAAAUGAUAAGAAAACCAUUCCGUUUAAGUACAUAUUAUACAGCAUAGAGAUUUUUCCACGCUCCAAUCUAUAAACUGUAAAUGUCAAAUUUGAAACAUCCUUAUCCAUUUUAUGGAAAGAAAAAAACCAUUUCAUUUAAGUACAUAUUAUGCAACAUAAAGAUUUUUUUCCCCUCUUAAUAUCUGAGCCGUGAAGGGGAGUCUUGGCACGACUAGUAAGGUUGAUGUUAUGUGAGGUCACGGGUUUGAGACGUGGAAAUAGCCUAUUGCAAAAGUGCCCGAGCGGGAGCUUAGUGAACCGGGCUACACUUUAAUAUCUGAACCGUCCAUUAGUGAAAAGUCAAGCAAAUUAUAGGAUUAAGAAAAAUAAAACAAAAUUGGUACUCUUGAAGCAGACACAUAUGAACCAAAAAGUAAAAAAGAGAAAUUCUAAAGGCAGAGCAUUUGCAAAGCUUUUGAAUUUUGCAGUGGACUGAAAGUCUGAAACUAGUAUAUGAAUCGACAGUUGAAACGAAAAAGUACAAUUCUUAUAUUAAGAGUUAAAAGACGAAAACGUGAACUUUAAUGAAGGAUAUAUUACAGGGUUUAAAACAAAAUAGUAAAAUUAAUUAAAUAAAAGCCAAAAGAUGAAAAAGAAAACCAGUAUAUAGAAGAGUCUUAAAAGCACAAACCCCUUUCUUUUUUCUAUUGCAGUUCUUGCAAAGUAUAAGGGAACUAUUGAAAAUCCAAAUACUUAGAAAAUAAACGUGGAAAAGAGAAAAGAAUCUUAGUAUAUUCUUUAUCUUAGAGUGUAUUAAAAUUUAAAAACACUACUAUUUAUUACUGUACAAAAU
rnacentral:lncRNA from 1 species